AAUAUCCUGGAAAAGUAAAAAGCAAGAUGUAGCUACCAGGUCAGGUGCAGAAGCAGAAUAUCGGGCUAUGGCUUUAGCAAUAGGUGAACUUAUCUGGGUAAAGCUACUCCUUCAAGAAUUGUAGUAUGAUGAGGUUAAAUAAAUAAAAUUCAUAUGUGACAAUCAAGCUACUUUACAUAUCGCCUCUAAUCCAGUUUUACACGAAAGAACUAAACAUAUAGAGGUGG
rnacentral:misc_RNA from 1 species